GAAGUACUCAGCUUUCAGGUAGAAGGGGCUUGAGAUAACCAGGACUGAAAUUUCGGGAACACAAGCCCACAGCCUUUACCUGCCCUUCAGAGAUCCCACCGCUGUCAUCAGGCUGCUGGCAGAACACAGCAGAGAAAUUGGCCCCAGGCCAAAGUGCAGCCUGGGCUGUGUCAGCAACCAACCUGCAAUUCUCUGGACACGAGGUCCCUCCUCUGUCACCUAAGUGAGGCCAUCCUGUGUACGUCUGGCAACCCAAGAAGCAUCAGAAACAAAAUCAAGUAGAUGCAGCAUUUCCCCAGAGCAGUGGACUGAAGGACAAGUCUGCAUUUCCAAAAUCUGGGCUGGCAGCUGACCACCAGACAGAAAGAAAAGGGGGAGCCACAUUCCCAAUGAAGAUGGUCCUGUUGCAGUGG